UACGUAGGGGGCGAGCGUUGUCCGGAUUUAUUGGGCGUAAAGAGCUCGUAGGCGGUUCGAUAAGUCGGACGUGAAAUCUCCACGCUCAACGUGGAGGGGCCGUUCGAUACUGUCGUGACUCGAGUCCGGUAGGGGAGUGUGGAAUUCCCGGUGUAGCGGUGAAAUGCGCAGAUAUCAGGAGGAACACCUAUUGCGAAGGCAGCUCGCUGGUACGUAACUGACGCUGAGACGCGAAAGCGUGGGGAGCAAACAGG
rnacentral:rRNA from 1 species